UGGGAAGUGGAGCAGCUGGGACUCAAACCAGCACCCAUGUGAGACAUUGGCAUUGCAGCAGGCAGCCUUACCAGCUGGUACAGGGCUGGCUCGGAAAGAGCGAUAUCUUCCAUCUCCUAUUCAGCUCCCAAAUGGCUGCAAUGGCUGGGACCAGGAGCUCCAUCUGGGCCUAUGUGGAUGGCAGGGGCCCAAGUACUAGGUCAUCUCAUUGCUGUCUCAGGCACAUUAGCAGGGAGCUGGAUCAGAAGCACUGCAGCUGGGACUUGAACUGGCAGUCUGAUAUGAGAUGCUGGCAUUGCAAGUGAUGGCUUAACCUGCUGUGCCACUAUAUGUGGCGCCAGAUUAACUUUGAAAAACUUUCACCUAUGAGGGGAAACAUGCAGUAUUUAUCUUUCUGUGUGUGAAUUAUUUCACUUAAUAUAAUGUCCUCCAGUUCCAGCUGUUUUGCUGCAAAUGACAGAAUUUCAUCUUUUGUGCCUGAAUAAGAUUCCAUUGUGUAUAAAUAGAAAAUUUUCUUUACCUACUCGUCUAUUGAUGGACACCUUGAUUGAUUUUGUAUCGGCUACUGUGAGUGGUGUCGCAGUGAACAUAGGAAUGCUGGUAUCUCUUUGACACAAUAUUCUCAUUUCUGCUGGAUAUGUGCCCAGUAGUGAGAUUACUGAAUUAUAUGGUCCAUCUCUUUGUGGUUUAAGAAGCCUCCACACUGUUUUCUAUGGUGGCUGCACUAAUUUACAUUCCCACCAACAGAGUUCGAGGGUUCCCCUCUCUGCACAUUCACUGCAGCGUUUGUUAUUUUUUGUCUGCUUGCUCCAAGCCAUUCUGAAACCUUCCCUUCAGAGCAGGGCCUUCAAGACCUUCUGAUCUGGUUCACUGGUUUCACCUCUCUCUCUUUUAGCCACAUUUUUCUCUCCCAGGACAAUACACACUUGACACGCCUGUACGUAUGUGUGUGCACACACGUGCAGACUAUGUUUAUAUAGAUACCCUAGGUUCUAACCACACCCUGGAUUUACUGCAUUCUCCCAUGUUUGGAGGUCUUUUUAGAAUAUUUUCAUCAUUACACUUUGCCUCCAAAGGGGGCACUGUUUGCACCCAUAGGGUAGUUGUGGUAGUGUAUCUCACAUAAUAGAGAAAAGGAUGUUAGUUGUCCAAUUCUUGGAUGUGUUAAGCCAGAUUUUUUUUCUUUACUUAAACAUUUAUUUUAUUAGAAAACUGCGAUGACAGCCUCUCCCCUGAUCUUACAGCUCCCAUUCUCCAAACAAUCCUGACUGACCCCACUCCACAGUGGUUCCUAGAAAACUGUUGCCAUCAUGUGUUACACUGGAAAGACAAAGGGAGUAGAAAUCAGAAGGCUCAGAUGUCAGCCCCAGCUUUUCCAGUGUUUCCACACAUGGUGAUCUGUGUGCGGUUCAUUUAGCUUCUCAGCGCUCAGCUUUCACAUUUAUACAAUUUAAGAGUUGGUUGAGAUUUAGGGUUGGAGAAUGGAUUCUAUAUCUCAUGCCUAUUUGGUCAGUAGCAGCUACCCAGAGCAUUUAGUUGAGAAGGAUUCUGAGGUUCCAUGUGACAUGAUGGGAAAGAGCAAUGUAUGGAAUGAGGCAUUGGUGGUGGGUGCACCAUGGACCUGUCAGUGCUGGCUCAGAUGACCUAAAAACUCUUUCCCAACUGGAACAUUUAGUUCUACAUGAGUCUCUUAAUGAAUUCAGAUGCCAAGUGUUCUCAGUCUGGAUUUAAUACCAACCUGAAUCUACUUCUAAAAAUUCUCCAGCCUAUACUUUCUGAUCCUACAUAUUUGCCAAUGCCAGAUGAGUGGAGAACGUGGGUCUUGAAAGUGGGGUGAUUUGGAAGGUGUAUAAUCCUUGGACAAAUGUUCAGGAGCUGAUUCGUCAUUGAUGUGAAAAUCUUAGAAAGCAACAGACGGAAAUAAUCAAUCUGAUUUGUGGCACUAUACACAUAAUAAGAUACGAUGUACCUAUGCUACGAUACACAGAUACAGGAGAUUUGAAGAAAAAAUUUAAAGGACUAGAGGGCAUGGAACAUCAUGAAUAAUUGGGCUUGUUUCCUCCAAAACAUUUUGUUUUAUCAUGAAGCAACACUUGAUUCAAGAUAACUUGGCAGAGUGGUAAAAA
ensembl:lncRNA